rnacentral:rRNA from 1 species
GAUUGCAGUCUGCAACUCGACUGCAUGAAGUCGGAAUCGCUAGUAAUCGCGGAUCAGCAUGCCGCGGUGAAUACGUUCCCGGGCCUUGUACACACCGCCCGUCACACCAUGAGAGUCGGGAACACCCGAAGUCCGUAGCCUAACCGCAAGGGGGCGCGGCCGAAGGUGGGUUCGAUAAUUGGGUGAAGUCGUAACAAGGUAUC